rnacentral:rRNA from 1 species
GAUGAACGCUGGCGGCGUGCCUAAUACAUGCAAGUCGAGCGAACAGAUAAGGAGCUUGCUCCUUUGACGUUAGCGGCGGACGGGUGAGUAACACGUGGGUAACCUACCUAUAAGACUGGGAUAACUUCGGGAAACCGGAGCUAAUACCGGAUAACAUUUGGAACCGCAUGGUUCUAAAGUGAAAGAUGGUUUUGCUAUCACUUAUAGAUGGACCCGCGCCGUAUUAGCUAGUUGGUAAGGUAGCGGCUUACCAAGGCGACGAUACGUAGCCGACCUGAGAGGGUGAUCGGCCACACUGGAACUGAGACACGGUCCAGACUCCUACGGGAGGCAGCAGUAGGGAAUCUUCCGCAAUGGGCGAAAGCCUGACGGAGCAACGCCGCGUGAGUGAUGAAGGGUUUCGGCUCGUAAAACUCUGUUAUUAGGGAAGAACAAAUGUGUAAGUAACUGUGCACGUCUUGACGGUACCUAAUCAGAAAGCCACGGCUAACUACGUG